rnacentral:rRNA from 1 species
UACGGAGGGGACUAGCGUUGUUCGGAAUUACUGGGCGUAAAGCGCGCGUAGGCGGCCUCAUAAGUCCGUUGUGAAAGUCAAAGGCUCAACCUUUGAAAGCCGAUGGAUACUGUGAGGCUAGAGUCCGGAAGAGGCGAGUGGAAUUCCUGGUGUAGCGGUGGAAUGCGCAGAUAUCAGGAGGAACACCAAUAGCGAAGGCAGCUCGCUGGGACGGUACUGACGCUAAGGCGCGAAAGCGUGGGGAGCGAACAGG